CUCUCUCAAAUUAUAUGCAUGCCUAGCAUUCCUAUCUCAGAACGAGGCUAAGUGAGUACAGCCACCGUAGCAACGCAUACACAAUGGCUUCCAGUCAAGCUACAUGUAGCAAAAACAAACAACAUUAUUGUGCACAAAAUUGUGUAUCCAAUGGAACUUAUGGUGAUUCUAUUCAUUUUCACCAUAUUCCAAAAGAUGAGGAUAUCAAAAAGCAGUGGAUUAUAAAAAUAAGAAGAGAUGAAGGGCAAUUAUUCAAGUGAUGAGACAAUGUGUAUUGAGACACAAGUGACAGAAUAGUUUAGUAAAGAUAACACAGAAUCAGAAGAAAGCAGCACAAAAAGGAGAAAAAUAGAGACAGUGUUGGAAACAGCCAAAAACAACAUUAAAAAUCCUGAAGAACAACUGUCUGAAAAGGAGAAAGAGUUGACAUGCUUAACAUCAGCAGUUAAGCAUGGAAAACAUUUGUGUAAAUAGAUUUUCAACAGAUGAUUCUCUAAUUUCAUUCUACAUAGGGUUUCAAACAUGUUUACUUUUUCUUACCUUUUUAUGUAUACUGCUAAAAACAUGCAGAGUGCAUAUUACAAAAGUAGUGAAACUUUUAGUCUUAGUGGUAGAAAGCGUUCUAUGUUGCUCAUUGACGAGCUUUUCUUAUUUUUUUUCGCCUUUGUGCAGGAUUAUUAAAACAAGAUCUGAGUGUUUGAUUUUCAUCAAAUAUAUUUAAAACAUACUCCUUUUCUAAUUUUUGCCGAACACUCAAAAGAGAGCCUUGUGGUAUAUUACCAAAUUUUGAUUCUACCGCUAGUACGUUCAUUUGUGUUAAAGAAGAGAGAAUCAAUAAAUCAAGUGGUACUGGAGAUAGACUUCUAUACUUUGUGUCCCAUUUAACAUUUUCUCCACGAAUGGGGUUGAAUGGGGUUGUUUUCAGAUUUUGGUUAGUCGUAGACAAGUCCAGUGCGGAUUUCUGUGAUGAAUACCCGCUUAUCUUUAAAUCCUGGACAGCCUUUCCUUGGAUUUUCUCCCCUCUUGGGACUUGCCAAGUUUGUGGCCGGGAUGUCUUUGCAAUUUUAACUGGGAUAGCUCUUUGACUUAUAAUCUUGAAUUUCGCAAGCUGGUACAGCCUUACUCACUUCAAGAGUGUUGAUAUCACCUAAACUCACCUGUAAUGUAGUUAUGAUAUCCAUAUAAAUAAUUCAUUAUGUUUACUUAAUGGCAAACGUUUUAUGUCUUGGUUAUCUAUCAAAAGUGAACGACACAAAAUAAAUGCAUUGAUAUGUUUUCAUUGA